GAAAAGGCUUGCACAUCUACAAAUUCAAAGAUUCAUGAUAUAUUCUACUUUACCCUAAAAACAAUUGGAGAUAAUGGGAUGUGAAACAGAACCAAGGAAUUAAAAUGUCAGCCCACUAAUAUCCUUAACAUGUCAUUCAGUUUCUUUAUUCUGCAGAUUCAGCAUCCGUCAACUGCUUGUGACUUGCAGCCACUAACAAAGCUCAAUAACACACCACAGAAUCCACUCUGGGUUGACACAGAGUGCUGGAAAAGCAGAAGGUGACAUUUGUGAUUCUUGCAACUCUGUCAGGGAAUUGUCUCAUUGUGGUGACUUCAAACCAGCCAGACUCUUGCCCAGUGACAUGUAAUUUUCCCUAUCUUACCUGCCCUUUGCUGAUACUGAAUCUCUACAACCACAACCCACAGAUUAAUUGUGGAUGCCCUUUCUCAGCAGAUCAUUUCCCACAAUGAGUGCAUGACCCAUGUCUUUGUAGCCUAUUUCUUCAGGUGCAUGAAUGGAGAUCUUUGUGCUCAUCCUCACAGCCUUUCAUCACUGUGUAACCAUUUAUGUCUUUUGACAUAAAUCAGCACUGGACCAGCAGAGACCAGUCUGUCAUGCUAGACUGCAGGAAUGUGUCUAGGGCCUCUGGAAAGAAGAUAGGCAAGAACUUCUUGCAAGCUGGUUCUCUCUCAAGAUGGCAUCUCCCCACCACAAUCCAUGCUCUGUGGAGUGGAGGAGGGAACCACACAGGAUCUCUCUCUGAAGUCCAGGAUUGCAGAGUACUUAAGAGAGCACUACUUAUCCCGCCUCUGCUCUGUGGCAGAAAGAUUCGUCUCCGGGCAGGAUCAGUAGGUGAGAGAUGGGCUCGCUUACCAUGCUCCUGUUCCCUGCUGCCUCCGAUGCUCUUCCUCAGGCACUGACAGGUAAAAGUGGCUCCUUUGGACUGUCUCAGUGGAGGAGGGAGACACUGGACUUCUCUAUUUGCCCAUCUUCUAACUGCUAAUAGAAUUAAUUGUAUUAGUACACUG
rnacentral:lncRNA from 1 species